GUCCACAUUCACAGGGAAGCCUCUUCUUUCUCAUCUUUGUAGGGAUAUCACCAUUCAUCCAUGGAUGCCCCCUCCCCGGCCGUGAAAUCCCCCCAACAUUCCCCAAUUUAUCUUAUGAACUAAGCAAUACCAUCCACUCCAUCCAUCAUAACAUUAACCAAUUGCCGCUGGUCUCAAUCAAGGCAAGGGCCUCUCAUCUAUCCAACUGAAACCCACUUUCUGCUUCGGUACAGUGGGGAGUAAUAAUUAUACGUACACUAGCAUGUUUUCGCGUCAACCAAGAUAUCUACCACCUACUUUCAUCCUUGUGUUUAUUUCUCCAUAAUCAUGCUGAUUGAUAUUCAUGCAAGUUCUUGCAAAAUGCCAGGCAGAGGUCAAAAUAUGACUUCUAUUCUAAUUCAGUGUAUUCUUCUACUAUAUGAGAAUAAUCACACGUUCUCAUCUUAGUCUUUCUAUCACUAUCUUUCAGUCACUCUCAAAAUCAACCUACUAUCUCAAUCACAAAACUGUACAGUACAAUCAUAUUUUAAGAAGAAUGAUCUCAACACUUUUCAACCUC
rnacentral:sRNA from 1 species